rnacentral:rRNA from 1 species
AGGAGGUUUCGCAAAUGGGCGAAGCCUGAUGCAGCCAUGCCGCGUGUAUGAAGAAGGCCUUCGGGUUGUAAAGUACUUUCAGUUGUGAGGAAGGGGGUAACGUUAAUAGCGUUAUCUCUUGACGUUAGCAACAGAAGAAGCACCGGCUAACUCCGUGCCAGCAGCCGCGGUAAUACGGAGGGUGCGAGCGUUAAUCGGAAUUACUGGGCGUAAAGCGCAUACAGGUGGUUCAUUAAGUCAGAUGUGAAAGCCCGGGGCUCAACCUCGGAACUGCAUUUGAAACUGGUGAACUAGAGUACUGUAGAGGGGGGUAGAAUUUCAGGUGUAGCGGUGAAAUGCGUAGAGAUCUGAAGGAAUACCAGUGGCGAAGGCGGCCCCCUGGACAGAUACUGACACUCAGAUGCGAAAGCGUGGGGAGCAAACAGGAUUAGAUACCCUGGUAGUCCACGCCGUAAACGAUGUCUACUUGGAGGUUGUGGCCUUGAGCCGUGGCUUUCGGAGCUAACGCGUUAAGUAGACCGCCUGGGGAGUACGGUCGCAAGAUUAAAACUCAAAUGAAUUGACGGGGGCCCGCACAAGCGGUGGAGCAUGUGGUUUAAUUCGAUGCAACGCGAAGAACCUUACCUACUCUUGACAUCCAGAGAAUCCAGCGGAGACGCAGGAGUGCCUUCGGGAGCUCUGAGACAGGUGCUGCAUGGCUGUCGUCAGCUCGUGUUGUGAAAUGUUGGGUUAAGUCCCGCAACGAGCGCAACCCUUUUUCCUUGUUUGCCAGCGAGUCAUUGUUCGGGGAACCUCCAAG